UUGAACGCUGGCGGCAUGCUUUACACAUGCAAGUCGAACGGCAGCACAGCAGGGGUAACCCUGUGGGUGGCGAGUGGCGAACGGGUGAGUAAUGCAUCGGAACGUACCCUGUUGUGGGGGAUAACUACGCGAAAGCGUAGCUAAUACCGCAUACGCCCUGAGGGGGGAAAGCGGGGGACCCCAAAUAGAGCGCACUGGGAAGAAAAUAAAAAGUGUGCUGUAUUUAGGGCCUCGCGCAAUAGGAGCGGCCGAUGCCGGAUUAGCUAGUUGGUGAGGUAAAGGCUCACCAAGGCGACGAUCCGUAGCUGGUCUGAGAGGAUGAUCAGCCACACUGGGACUGAGACACGGCCCAGGCUCCUACGGGAGGCAGCAGUGGGGAAUUUUGGACAAUGGGCGCAAGCCUGAUCCAGCCAUGCCGCGUGAGUGAAGAAGGCCUUCGGGUUGUAAAGCUCUUUCGGACGGAAAGAAAUCGCGCAGGUAAAUAAUCUGCGUGGAUGACGGUACCGUAAGAAGAAGCACCGGCUAACUACGUGCCAGCAGCCGCGGUAAUACGUAGGGUGCGAGCGUUAAUCGGAAUUACUGGGCGUAAAGCGUGCGCAGGCGGUUUUUGUAAGACAGGUGUGAAAUCCCCGGGCUUAACCUGGGAAUGGCGCUUGUGACUGCAAGACUCGAGUGCGGCAGAGGGGGGUGGAAUUCCACGUGUAGCAGUGAAAUGCGUAGAGAUGUGGAGGAGCACCGAUGGCGAAGGCAGCCCCCUGGGUCGACACUGACGCUCAUGCACGAAAGCGUGGGGAGCAAACAGGAUUAGAUACCCUGGUAGUCCACGCCCCUAAACGAUGCCAACUAGGUGUUGGGGAAGGAGACUUCCUUAGUACCGAAGCUAACGCGUGAAGUUGGCCGCCUGGGGAGUACGGUCGCAAGAUUAAAACUCAAAGGAAUUGACGGGGACCCGCACAAGCGGUGGAUGAUGUGGAUUAAUUCGAUGCAACGCGAAAAAACCUUACCUACCCUUGACAUGCCAGGAACCUUGCUGAGAGGUGAGGGUGCCCGAAAGGGAACCUGGACACAGGUGCUGCAUGGCUGUCGUCAGCUCGUGUCGUGAGAUGUUGGGUUAAGUCCCGCAACGAGCGCAACCCUUGUCAUUAAUUGCCAUCAUUAAGUUGGGCACUUUAAUGAGACUGCCGGUGACAAACCGGAGGAAGGUGGGGAUGACGUCAAGUCCUCAUGGCCCUUAUGGGUAGGGCUUCACACGUCAUACAAUGGUCGGUACAGAGGGUCGCCAACCCGCGAGGGGGAGCUAAUCUCACAAAGCCGAUCGUAGUCCGGAUCGCAGUCUGCAACUCGACUGCGUGAAGUCGGAAUCGCUAGUAAUCGCGGAUCAGCAUGUCGCGGUGAAUACGUUUCCCGGGUCUUGUACACACCGCCCGUCACACCAUGGGAGUGGGUUUCACCAGAAGAGGGUAGCCUAACCGCAAGGAGGGCGCUCGCCACGGUGAGAUUCAUGACUGGGGUG
rnacentral:rRNA from 1 species